rnacentral:lncRNA from 1 species
GAUCAGCUCCGCGAGGUACUUCUCUGCAGUAAUUUCAAGUGUCUCAUCAGCCUUUUCUUUCACAAACCCUUCGGCAAUCCAUAACCGAACUAAUUUCUUUCGGGAGAUCUGUGACUUAUAUGGGAUUACAGAGAGCAGCAUAAAACAUGGCUUCAAAGGGUGUGGGAGGUCCCUAUAACUUGAUAGCAGUGUCUGCUGAAUUCCCAUUUGACCAUUGCUUAGAUCCUUCUGAAUGCUUGCCAGGACACUUUUCCACUCAGUAUCUGUUUGUUCUUUCCCGGACAUCAUACUCCCUGCAGCAACAAUAGCAAGAGGCAAACCAACACAUUUCUUCACAAUGUCCUCAGCAGUUUCCUUUACAGCGUCCGGACAUAUUCCAUCCUGCAAGAAUGCCUUUUUGCAAAACAAAUUCCAGGAAUCUUCAAAUGGCAAUGGCUGAAGCUGCUGUACAGUGCUCUUUGCGCCUUCAACUGAGCCAGCCACAGCGGCAUUACGAGUUGUCACAAGCACUCGGCUUCCGCUGCAAUUUCUGGGCAGUACUAGCUUGAUGAUAUCCCACAACCCUCUGUCCCAGACAUCAUCAAACACAAGCAGAAACUUUUUACAGCCAAGGCCACUCAAGAGCAAUUCUUGGAGCCGCUUCUCGCAGAGGGAGCUCGCCUCUGCAGAGGGGAUCCUCAUCAGCCCCUUGACCAUCUCACAGAGGAUAGAGCGCAGCUCCAUCGUUUUCGACACAUAGAUCCACGCACAGCAUUCGAAAUGCUUCUUCACGUCUGGGUUGGUGUACGCCUUCUUGGCAAGUGUGGUCUUCCCAACACCUCCCAUGCCAACCAAGGAUAUGACACUUAGCUCCGACUCCAAACCUCCAUCCAAGAUAUGCCGAAGCAACACAUCCAGAUAUUUAUCCAGGCCUACAACAUCUAUGUCAUGAACCAUCGGAGAUGAGGCUAAAAGACCAUGGAUCCACUUAUCACUUGAUUCUCUAGGUCUUUCAACUGCAUACUCCAGUCGGCGACGGGAGAUGUCACUCAGCUGAGCCCGGAUGCGCCUGAUCCGAGCCCCGACGUCAUGCCUCGAUCUCAGCUUACCAAGAACACAGCAGCCUUGUACUUGGCUGGCGUCGAAGAUGUCGAUGGCGUCCUCCGAGUCGGACAUGAUGUCCCUCAUCUGGUCAAUCCAUGCUUCUCUGGCGACGCCGCCCUCAAUGCUGCAAACCUCCAUCUCGUGAAGGAAGAGCUGCAUGCUGUGGAGCUCAUCACGGAGCCAUCCGACAUCACGACUUACGGACCAGAGGCGCCGGCCAUGGUCGGUUGCUCUGCUGCUAAGCAGGGAGCCUAAGACAUGGAUCAAAGAAGCAAGCACGGGUUCGGCCAUGGAAAUGCUGGUCUUCCUUUCUGUUGUUGGAGAAGGAAGGGGGAAGCUCGGUAGUCGCUACCAAUUUUCUGGUAGGAAGUCGAGGUCAAUGGGCAGUGCUGUACCACUGAUUAGAAGAUACUUUCAACCACUUGAUGCCCAACUGAGAUCCUUGGGCCCACUGGCAGUUCCUCUGCAAUCUGGGUCAACUAUUCCUGAUCAACCGUGCAUAAUUUCCCAGAAGCUAGAUGCAUAAAACGAUGCUUGACCAACUGGACAAAUCUUAAGCCAACAAAUGAGCAGCCCGCGACCCGGAGCUUGAUAGGAUCCAUAUGUUCCCCUAUUCGUAAAGAAAGUAAAAAAGCAAAACACAGUAAACAGUUUCACAUCCUUGCUACAUGAAGUCACAUUUCAGUUCAGUUAAGACCUACUAGGUGGCAGAACGGUGCUGCUUUUUUUCUGGGGAAACAUAUGUGCUUACUGACUUUAACGAUGCUCUUUUGCAGGAUAUUUUCUUGGAUGUUUCAACUAUGAAGCACUGGAGAAGCUUAUGGGCCUUAGUGAUCUGGCUGCAAGGCACUCACUAAUGCACAAGGGAUUUCGCUCACUCGGCCUGUCAGCGGCUGAAAGCUUGUUUCCACAUUGAGCCUUGGGUUGUGCUUUGUGAUCUUUGUCAGGGCCUCGAAGUUGGUGCUAAUGGACGGAUCACGGAUGAUAACUCAUAUACCAACUUCACUCCAAUAAAUUUUCAAGUAGCUCGAAUACUCCAUACCGAGCAGCUCUCCUAGCGUAAUUCUCACCUCUUGCGAUUUUUUAUGUGUAGGUGUAUCAUGUCCGAGGUUGCAUCAGGAUUCAGGACCAGACACUGAAGACAUCUAACAAGAUUGUCCUCGUCCUUCUGCUCACCAGUCACGCUGCUGCCAUCCGUUCGAGUUCAGACCAUUCUCUGUCAGCUCCAACACUUGGAGUUAAGAUCUUAGGCUCUUAGUCAUCAAUCACAGCAACCAACCAUCCUAGUGCAGCAUCGAACAUCUAGCAUAACAACGCCAUUACGUACGUACAUAGUGGGGAUCACACCACGAGGGGGAGCACCCCCUUUCGCCCCUUUCCUUUCUGUUCGCUUACGACGGAACCGCAUUACGUCUGGAUGCAUUGCAGCAUUGUACGCAUCGAGUUAACGUCUUGUUCUUGGCUCAUCAGAUUUGGAAGGCCCCCAUCGAUCUCAUCCGUGCCCCUCCUGUGGCUCCUGGAGAUGCCAAACAGCCAACCGUGUAAGUGGAAUGCGCGGCUGGCCGGCAAGCAUGCAAUGCAAUGCAACGCACGUAGCGUACGUGCGUCAAAGACUGGUGAAAAGAUGAGACCCGCCCCCGUCCGCACGGUGCGAUUAUGUUCUUCUGAAUGGCACAUCGGCGGCCGGAGGACCACCGGCGCGCCGAGGUGGAGGAGGAUGAACCUGGCCGCGUUCGUGCGUGUGCUGAGCCACAGUUUGCUGCCAAAGUCGUCCUUGUCGGGCACCACAUUGCGUGGCUUUUGACAUUUAUGUGUCACCCUCCCAUUAUUCCCCUCCAAUGGUGGACACGCAGCAUAGGCUCGGGAGCGGGCCAUGCCAUGUUUCCCUUGGAGCCGGGCGUGUCUCCGUGUGCCACUUGCGACAGUAGCCCGGCGGACAUCUGUCUCCGCGGCCCACGGAUUUUGUAAUGUCACUAGCUGAUUGAUUGACCAACAGACCAAGUGAUACGUUGCAUCAACACGUCGGCCGGUGAGCUUCGAAAUGCUGUACACAAAGGAUCAUUAUCUCGGGAAGUUCUGUACUUCUCUACUUCUGCAAGAGUUAUGUAGUACAGCUUUGCUUACUUGCUAAGACAGGUAGUACAGUUUAGUCUGGUGCAUGCACAAUAUGCAGGCAUUAUUACAUCGUCGUGUUAAUUACGUCAUCUGUACAAAGCAAACGAAUAUAGCUACGCCAUAUGCAUUCUGCCACUUGUUCGCUUAUUCCCAUUUUCCAACUUGUGGCUGCGUGGUAGCUCUGCUUGUUGGAGCAUACAGAGAAG